UGGGGAAUAUUGCACAAUGGGGGAAACCCUGAUGCAGCGACGCCGCGUGGAGGAAGAAGGUCUUCGGAUUGUAAACUCCUGUUGUUGAGGAAGAUAAUGACGGUACUCAACAAGGAAGUGACGGCUAACUACGUGCCAGCAGCCGCGGUAAAACGUAGGUCACAAGCGUUGUCCGGAAUUACUGGGUGUAAAGGGAGCGCAGGCGGGAAGACAAGUUGGAAGUGAAAUCUAUGGGCUCAACCCAUAAACUGCUUUCAAAACUGUUUUUCUUGAGUAGUGCAGAGGUAGGCGGAAUUCCCGGUGUAGCGGUGGAAUGCGUAGAUAUCGGGAGGAACACCAGUGGCGAAGGCGGCCUACUGGGCACCAACUGACGCUGAGGCUCGAAAGUGUGGGUAGCAAACAGG
rnacentral:rRNA from 1 species